rfam:Candidate division WOR-1 bacterium RIFOXYC2_FTLL_46_14 rifoxyc2_full_scaffold_32, whole genome shotgun sequence.
GGGCCCAUAGCUCAAUGGUGGAGCAAUCGACUCAUAAUCGACAGGUUCUAGGUUCGAAUCCUAGUGGGCCCA